rnacentral:rRNA from 1 species
AUUGAACGCUGGCGGCACGCCUAACACAUGCAAGUCGAGCGGCAGCGAGACUAGUAGCAAUACUAGUUGUCGGCGAGCGGCGGACGGGUGAGUAACACGUAGGAAUCUGCCCUUAAGCGGGGGAUAACCAAGGGAAACUUUGGCUAAUACCGCAUAAUCUCGAGAGAGCAAAGCUGCCCGCAAGGGUGGCACUUGAGGAGGAGCCUGCGUCCGAUUAGCUAGUUGGUGGGGUAAUGGCCUACCACGGCGAUGAUCGGUAACUGGUCUGAGAGGACGACCAGUCCCACUGGGACUGAGACACGGCCCAGACUCCUACGGGAGGCAGCAGGGGGAAAUAUUGGACAAUGGGGGCAACCCUGAUCCAGCGAUGCCGCGUGAGUGAAGAAGGCCUUCGGGUCGUAAAGCUCGUUAGGUUGGGAAGAAGUGUAUUGGCUGAAUAAUCCAGUACAUUGACGGUACCGACAGAAUAAGCACCGGCAAACUCUGUGCCAGCCGCCGCAGUAAUAC